rnacentral:misc_RNA from 1 species
GCUUUGUUAUGGUCAUUCCAUUUCCUGUUCAGCUCCUCCAAAAAUGAAUCUCCCUGCGCAGCAUCAAUAGAUUUUGAUAUUUCUUUAAGAUGCGAAGUCAUAGUUGAAACCAGACCAGAAUACAACUUUUCACCAAAUUUGUGCAGCACCAUAUUAUAAGCAUUCCUAUAAAGCUCUUCAAAACUAAGGCCACUAGCGUUGUGAUU